rnacentral:misc_RNA from 1 species
UUGCCCUUCGGGGUAUACCUCCCACCCUUUGUUUAUUUAUACCUUUGUUGCUUUGGCAGACCCGGCUUCGGCCCACCGGCUCCGGCUGGUCAGUGUCUGCCAGAGGACCUAAAACUCUGUUUGUUAAUAUUGUCUGAGUACUAUAUAAUAGUUAAAACUUUCAACAACGGAUCUCUUGGUUCUGGCAUCGAUGAAGAACGCAGCGAAAUGCGAUAAGUAAUGUGAAUUGCAGAAUUCAGUGAAUCAUCGAAUCUUUGAACGCACAUUGCGCCCUCUGGUAUUCCGGGGGGCAUGCCUGUUCGAGCGUCAUUACAACCCUCAAGCUUUGCUUGGUAUUGGACAUUGCCAGUUUCUGGCAGGUCUUAAAAUCAGUGGCGGUGCCAUUUGGCUUCAAGCGUAGUAAUUCUUCUCGCUUUGGAGAUCCAAGUGGUUACUUGCCAAUAACCCCCAAUUUUUUCAGGUUGACCUCGGAUCAGGUAGGGAUACCCGCUGAACUUAAGCAUAUCAAUAAGCGGAGGAAAAGAAACCAACAGGGAUUACCUCAGUAACGGCGAGUGAAGCGGUAACAGCUCAAAUUUGAAAUCUGGCAGCAAUGUCCGAGUUGUAAUUUGUAGAGGAUGUUUCGAGCAUGGUCUGGCCUAAGUUCCUUGGAACAGGACGUCAUAGAGGGUGAGAAUCCCGUAUGCGGUCAGGUGCCUACGCUCAUGUGAAACUCCUUCGACGAGUCGAGUUGUUUGGGAAUGCAGCUCAAAAUGGGUGGUAAAUUUCAUCUAAAGCUAAAUAUUGGCCAGAGACCGAUAGCGCACAAGUAGAGUGAUCGAAAGAUGAAAAGCACUUUGGAAAGAGAGUUAAACAGUACGUGAAAUUGU